UGUAAAGUACUUUCAGCAGUGAGGAAGGUGGAUAUGUUAAUAGCAUAUUCAUUUGACGUUAGCUGCAGAAGAAGCACCGGCUAACUCCGUGCCAGCAGCCGCGGUAAUACGGAGGGUGCGAGCGUUAAUCGGAAUUACUGGGCGUAAAGCGCAUGCAGGUGGUUUGUUAAGUCAGAUGUGAAAGCCCGGGGCUCAACCUCGGAAUUGCAUUUGAAACUGGCAAACUAGAGUACUGUAGAGGGGGUAGAAUUUCAGGUGUAGCGGUGAAAUGCGUAGAGAUCUGAAGGAAUACCGGUGGCGAAGGCGGCCCCCUGGACAGAUACUGACACUCAGAUGCGAAAGCGUGGGGAGCAAACAGGAUUAGAUACCCUGGUAG
rnacentral:rRNA from 1 species